AUCCAGACUCCUACGGGAGGCAGCAGUGGGGGAUAUUGCACAAUGGGGGGAACCCUGAUGCAGCGACGCCGCGUGGGUGAAGGAGUGCUUCGGCAUGUAAAGCCCUAUCGGCAGGGAAGAAGCAAGACGGUACCUGACUAAGAAGCCCCGGCUAACUACGUGCCAGCAGCCGCGGUAAUACGUAGGGGGCGAGCGUUAUCCGGAUUCACUGGGUGUAAAGGGAGCGUAGACGGCCAUGCAAGCCAGGGGUGAAAGCCCGGGGCCCAACCCCGGGACUGCUUUGGAAACUGUAUGGCUGGAGUACUGGAGAGGCAAGCGGAAUUCCUAGUGUAGCGGUGAAAUGCGUAGAUAUUAGGAAGAACACCAGUGGCGAAGGCGGCUUGCUGGACGACGACUGACGGUGAGGCGCGAAAGCGUGGGGAGCAAACAGGAUUAGAUACCCGCGUACGU
rnacentral:rRNA from 1 species